rnacentral:rRNA from 1 species
AGAGUUUGAUCCUGGCUCAGGAUGAACGCUGGCGGCGUGCUUAACACAUGCAAGUCGAACGAACCUUCGGGUUAGUGGCGGACGGGUGAGUAACGCGUGGGAAUCUGCCCUCAGGAGGGGGAUAACGGUUGGAAACGACCGCUAAUACCCCAUAUGCCGAGAGGUGAAAUGAAUUUCGCCUGAGGAUGAGCCCGCGUCUGAUUAGCUAGUUGGUGAGGUAAGAGCUCACCAAGGCAUCGAUCAGUAGCUGGUCUGAGAGGAUGAUCAGCCACACUGGGACUGAGACACGGCCCAGACUCCUACGGGAGGCAGCAGUGGGGAAUUUUCCGCAAUGGGCGAAAGCCUGACGGAGCAACGCCGCGUGAGGGAUGAAGGCCUCUGGGCUGUAAACCUCUUUUCUCAAGGAAGAAGAUCUGACGGUACUUGAGGAAUAAGCCACGGCUAAUUCCGUGCCAGCAGCCGCGGUAAUACGGGAGUGGCAAGCGUUAUCCGGAAUUAUUGGGCGUAAAGCGUCCGCAGGCGGCCUUUCAAGUCUGCUGUUAAAACGUGGAGCUUAACUCCAUCAUGGCAGUGGAAACUGUUGGGCUUGAGUGUGGUAGGGGCAGAGGGAAUUCCCGGUGUAGCGGUGAAAUGCGUAGAUAUCGGGAAGAACACCAGUGGCGAAGGCGCUCUGCUGGGCCAUAACUGACGCUCAUGGACGAAAGCCAGGGGAGCGAAAGGGAUUAGAUACCCCUGUAGUCCUGGCCGUAAACGAUGAACACUAGGUGUCGGGGGAAUCGACCCCCUCGGUGUCGUAGCCAACGCGUUAAGUGUUCCGCCUGGGGAGUACGCACGCAAGUGUGAAACUCAAAGGAAUUGACGGGGGCCCGCACAAGCGGUGGAGUAUGUGGUUUAAUUCGAUGCAACGCGAAGAACCUUACCAGGGUUUGACAUCCUGCGAAUCUCUUGGAAACGAGAGAGUGCCCUCGGGAACGCAGUGACAGGUGGUGCAUGGCUGUCGUCAGCUCGUGUCGUGAGAUGUUGGGUUAAGUCCCGCAACGAGCGCAACCCACGUCUUUAGUUGCCAGCAUUUAGUUGGGCACUCUAGAGAGACCGCCGGUGAUAAACCGGAGGAAGGUGUGGAUGACGUCAAGUCAUCAUGCCCCUUACAUCCUGGGCUACACACGUACUACAAUGCUACGGACAAAGAGCAGCAAGUUCGCGAGGACAAGCAAAUCUCAUAAACCGUGGCUCAGUUCAGAUCGUAGGCUGCAACUCGCCUACGUGAAGGAGGAAUCGCUAGUAAUCGCAGGUCAGCAUACUGCGGUGAAUACGUUCCCGGGCCUUGUACACACCGCCCGUCACACCAUGGAAGUUGGCCACGCCCGAAGCCGUUACUCCAACCCUUGUGGAGGAGGACGUCGAAGGUGGGGCUGAUGACUGGGGUGAAGUCGUAACAAGGUAGCCGUACCGGAAGGUGCGGCUGGAUCACCUCCUAA